UGGGGAAUAUUGCGCAAUGGGCGAAAGCCUGACGCAGCGACGCCGCGUGAGGGAUGAAGGUCUUCGGAUCGUAAACCUCUGUCAGCAGGGAAGAACGGUCACUGUGCUAAUCAGCAGUGAAUUGACGGUACCUGCAAAGGAAGCACCGGCUAACUACGUGCC
rnacentral:rRNA from 1 species